rnacentral:rRNA from 1 species
UGUCGGAGUACUGGGCGUAAGAGCUCGUAGGUGGUUUGUCGCGUUGUUCGUGAAAUCUCACGGCUUAACUGUGAGCGUGCGGGCGAUACGGGCAGACUUGAGUACUGCAGGGGAGACUGGAAUUCCUGGUGUAGCGGUGGAAUGCGCAGAUAUCAGGAGGAACACCGGUGGCGAAGGCGGGUCUCUGGGCAGUAACUGACGCUGAGGAGCGAAAGCGUGGGGAGCGAACAGGAUUAGAUACCCUGGUAGUCCACGCCGUAAACGGUGGGUACUAGGUGUGGGUUUCCUUCCUUGGGAUCCGUGCCGUAGCUAACGCAUUAAGUACCCCGCCUGGGGAGUACGGCCGCAAGGCUAAAACUCAAAGAAAUUGACGGGGGCCCGCACAAGCGGCGGAGCAUGUGGAUUAAUUCGAUGCAACGCGAAGAACCUUACCUGGGUUUGACAUGCACAGGACGCCGGCAGAGAUGUCGGUUCCCUUGUGGCCUGUGUGCAGGUGGUGCAUGGCUGUCGUCAGCUCGUGUCGUGAGAUGUUGGGUUAAGUCCCGCAACGAGCGCAACCCUUGUCUCAUGUUGCCAGCGGGUAAUGCCGGGGACUCGUGAGAGACUGCCGGGGUCAACUCGGAGGAAGGUGGGGAUGACGUCAAGUCAUCAUGCCCCUUAUGUCCAGGGCUUCACACAUGCUACAAUGGCCGGUACAAAGGGCUGCGAUGCCGCGAGGUUAAGCGAAUCCUUUUAAAGCCGGUCUCAGUUCGGAUCGGGGUCUGCAACUCGACCCCGUGAAGUCGGAGUCGCUAGUAAUCGCAGAUCAGCAACGCUGCGGUGAAUACGUUCCCGGGCCUUGUACACACCGCCCGUCACGUCAUGAAAGUCGGUAACACCCGAAGCCAGUGGCCUAACCCUUUGGGAGGGAGCUGUCGAAGGUGGGAUCGGCGAUUGGGACGAAGUCGUAACAAGGUACCCGU